UGUGUGUGUGUGUGUGUGUGUGUGUGUGUGUGUGUGUAUUUGGGGUAGAGCUAGGUGUUAUCUUGACCUAGUGACUCAGGAAGGAGAAACCACCAGCAAGGCAGGCUGGGUGAGCCACUGCCUCAUUCACUGAUGAUGGUAUUGAAAGACAGGCCUUACCUUGGAAGCCUGGAGCAGCACAGCCUGACUUUGUCAUUGAAAGACCAUUUCAGGGCAGUGUUCCUGGAAGCCUCUUUCCUGGGGGGCAGCAGCACAUUUCUGUGAUGACUCAUUGAGUUUCUGUUGUUUUUGUGUCUCCUUCCCAACAGUUGAAAGAAAAAGUCUUGUCCUUAAUUAAUGAAGUGACAGAGACUCAUGGGGAGCUGGAAGAGUUUCAGGAAUGGUGUGAAUGAGAGGAUGAGCAAGGGAUGAACCUAAUAUGUCUUCUGAGAUCUGACAUGAACCAUAGCCAGAAUGAAAGAUUGUUGGCCCCUUGCAUCUGGAAUAUUCCUCCUUACCUCCACCUCUUGGAAACCCAAGUUUCCUUCAAAAUUCCCACAGAGGCCUGUAUAAGAAGCGUUUCGUGAUCCUGCCCUGGACUCUAGUUACUAAUGCUGUGAUCCCCAUUCUCUUCUAUCUACUUUUUAUCCUGUGGAGACAAAUGUACAUGUGUAGGACAUCUAUGAGUAUGUAUGUACGUACAAUCUUCUCUCCCCCACUAGAAUGGAAUCUCCAGGAUAGGCAGUGUUAAGACUUGCUUCUAGCAUUGUGCCUAGCACACAGCAGGUGCUAAAUAAAUACUUGUUGCUUGAUUGUCAUUCGAUUAUAUUGUUGGUCUUGAAGAUUCCCAUUUGGACAAGUUCAUUUUCAGCGUUUGCCCUGUUGUAGAGUUAUAGGCGCCCUGUCUUCAUUCGAUGGUGCCCUAACUCCAGAACCUCGCAUUGGACAUAUGGUCGUGAGAGUCCAGUGGGGGGUCCCAGUGCUCACCCUGUCUGAGCCAUCAGCUUGUCGUAGGGCUUUCUGUGGAUUCAUGCUCUCGGGGAUGUCAGGUCUCCCUCCCGUGGCACUGAGCACAGCCACCUGGUGGGUGUCUCAUUCAUGUCCUUGCUCCCAUCAGUCUUUUGGAAAAGAACUGUUGAGCUGGUUUGAAGUUGCCCUAGUAUUUCAGAGCUAUGUCAAAUGUCUUGUUACAAAUGUCUUGCCAAAUUGUGGUACCGCAAUGGAAGUGAAUGUUACUCUUCUUUAUUGUUGUUGUUGAGUCAUUUUCCAUAGUGUUUGAGGCCAGUUUUGAACUGGGCAAAUAUGAUUCUCUCUGACUGGAGGCCAGGUACUCUGUGCAUUAUGGCGCCCCCUGGCAGCCCUUAGUAUUCUUUGAAAAAUGACAGGAAGAAUGGGAGGAGUGUGAGAAGACUUGUAGGAGUCACAGACUGACAUAAGCAGAACCUUGUCUGCCAUGGGAGGAAUGCAAGUGAGCUCCGUGGGAUGCACAUGGGAGAAGAGGUAGAAAAUGUGCCAUGUGCUUUUCCCAACCAGGGACCCUUUUGUUGUCUUAUCUUUCUAAGAAGCAGUGGUCUACUUGGUGGGCACACAUCCCUAGAAACCACUUUUGUGGAUUCUUUUAUGCUGUGCCUCUUGUUUCCCUCUCAUCCCCUGUGCCUGCUAGAGCAGAGCACAUUUGUAGCCGCACAGAGACCCCGUUUUGUAUGUCUCAUUCCACACCCCCAACCCCUAGUCUCUUCCAGGAGGGCGAGAAAUGUUUCACCAACAGUACUUGAGAGCAUGGAUUGGUCUCUCCUUUGGUCUUUGUUCCUGUCAUGUUUGACAUUGUUUUCUUUUUGUUUACUCUUCUCUUGGUUCUGCUUUCUUUGUUAUGUAUCUUUCUGUUAGAAUCUCCUUAGAUUUCUUCAAAUGUCUUUAUAGUCCUCAUAUUUGGGGAAUACUGUAGUCUAGUAGAUUUAUAGAUUACAGCUUGUUCAGCCAUUCCCCAAUCAAUGGGCAUUCCUUUGGUUUCCGGUUUGUUUUUUUUUUUGCUUUAGCUGAAAAGUACUGCUGUUUAUUAGAAUUAAAAUGCUUUACUUUGA